rnacentral:rRNA from 1 species
UACGUAGGGUGCAAGCGUUGUCCGGAAUUAUUGGGCGUAAAGAGCUCGUAGGCGGUUUGUUGCGUCGGCUGUGAAAACCCGGGGCUCAACUCCGGGCCUGCAGCCGAUACGGGCAGACUAGAGUUCGGCAGGGGAGACUGGAAUUCCUGGUGUAGCGGUGAAAUGCGCAGAUAUCAGGAGGAACACCGGUGGCGAAGGCGGGUCUCUGGGCCGAUACUGACGCUGAGGAGCGAAAGCGUGGGGAGCGAACAGG